CCAGACUCCUACGGGAGGCAGCAGUGAGGAAUAUUGGUCAAUGGCCGAGAGGCUGAACCAGCCAAGUCGCGUGAGGGAAGACGGCCCUACGGGUUGUAAACCUCUUUUGUCGGGGAGCAAAGCGAACCACGUGUGGUUCAUUGAGAGUACCCGAAGAAAAAGCAUCGGCUAACUCCGUGCCAGCAGCCGCGGUAAUACGGAGGAUGCGAGCGUUAUCCGGAUUUAUUGGGUUUAAAGGGUGCGUAGGCGGACUGCCAAGUCAGCGGUAAAAUACGGGGGCUCAACCUCCGCCCGUCGUUGAAACUGACGGUCUUGAGUGGGCGAGAAGUAUGCGGAAUGCGUGGUGUAGCGGUGAAAUGCAUAGAUAUCACGCAGAACUCCGAUUGCGAAGGCAGUAUACCGGCGCCCAACUGACGCUGAAGCACGAAAGCGUGGGUAUCGAACAGGAUUAGAUACCCUGGUAGG
rnacentral:rRNA from 1 species